GACGAACGCUGGCGGCGUGCCUAAUACAUGCAAGUCGAGCGGAUGAUGGAGGAGCUUGCUCCUCCUGAUUCAGCGGCGGAUGGGUGAGUAACGCGUGGGCAACCUGCCCUGUAGAUUGGGAUAACUCCGGGAAACCGGGGCUAAUACCGAAUAAUCCACCGGACCUCAUGGUCUGGUGUUGAAAGACGGCAUCUCGCUGUCACUACAGGAUGGGCCCGCGGCGCAUUAGCUAGUUGGUGAGGUAACGGCUCACCAAGGCCACGAUGCGUAGCCGACCUGAGAGGGUGAUCGGCCACACUGGGACUGAGACACGGCCCAGACUCCUACGGGAGGCAGCAGUAGGGAAUCUUCCACAAUGGACGAAAGUCUGAUGGAGCAACGCCGCGUGAGUGAAGAAGGUUCUCGGAUCGUAAAACUCUGUUGUGAGGGAAGAACAAGUACCGGAGUAACUGCCGGUACCUUGACGGUACCUCAUUAGAAAGCCACGGCUAACUACGUGCCAGCAGCCGCAGUAAAAC
rnacentral:rRNA from 1 species